GCUGACACAUUCCAGCCAAUCAGCAGCAGACCCUCCCUCCCAGACUCUCCCACCUCCUGGACAGCAUCCAUUUUGAAGCUGCAUUCUUAGUGAGCUGUCCAGGAGGUGGGAGGGUCUGGGAGGGAGGGUCUGCUGCUGAUUGGCUGGAAUGUGUCAG